AGAGUUUGAUCAUGGCUCAGGACGAACGCUGGCGGCGUGCUUAACACAUGCAAGUCGAACGAUGAACCGGUUUCGGCCGGGGAUUAGUGGCGAACGGGUGAGUAACACGUGGGUAAUCUGCCCCGCACUCUGGGAUAAGCCCGGGAAACUGGGUCUAAUACCGGAUAUACAUCGAUGGUCGCAUGGCCUGUCGGUGGAAAGCUUUUGCGGUGUGGGAUGGGCCCGCGGCCUAUCAGCUUGUUGGUGGGGUGAUGGCCUACCAAGGCGACGACGGGUAGCCGGCCUGAGAGGGUGACCGGCCACGCUGGGACUGAGACACGGCCCAGACUCCUACGGGAGGCAGCAGUGGGGAAUAUUGCACAAUGGGCGAAAGCCUGAUGCAGCGACGCCGCGUGAGGGAUGACGGCCUUCGGGUUGUAAACCUCUUUCAGCAGGGAAGAAGCGCAAGUGACGGUACCUGCAGAAGAAGCACCGGCUAACUACGUGCCAGCAGCCGCGGUAAUACGUAGGGUGCAAGCGUUGUCCGGAAUUAUUGGGCGUAAAGAGCUCGUAGGCGGCUUGUCGCGUCGGUUGUGAAAGCCCGGGGCUUAACCCUGGGUCUGCAGUCGAUACGGGCAGGCUAGAGUUCGGCAGGGGAGACUGGAAUUCCUGGUGUAGCGGUGAAAUGCGCAGAUAUCAGGAGGAACCACCGGUGGCGAAGGCGGGUCUCUGGGCCGAUACUGACGCUGAGGAGCGAAAGCGUGGGGAGCGAACAGGAUUAGAUACCCUGGUAGUCCACGCUGUAAACGGUGGGAACUAGGUGUGGGCAGCAUUCCACGUUGUCUGUGCCGUAGCUAACGCAUUAAGUUCCCCGCCUGGGGAGUACGGCCGCAAGGCUAAAACUCAAAGGAAUUGACGG
rnacentral:rRNA from 1 species